UACGUAGGUGGCAAGCGUUGUCCGGAUUUACUGGGCGUAAAGAGCGCGCAGGCGGCUGGUCAAGUCCGAUGUGAAAUCUCCCGGCUCAACUGGGAAACUGCAUCGGAAACUGAUCGGCUUGAAGGUGGGAGAGGGUAGUGGAAUUCCCGGUGUAGUGGUGAAAUGCGUAGAUAUCGGGAGGAACACCGGUGGCGAAGGCGGGUCUCUGGGCCGAUACUGACGCUGAGGAGCGAAAGCGUGGGGAGCGAACAGG
rnacentral:rRNA from 1 species